rnacentral:lncRNA from 1 species
CUCAAGGUUACACCAGAUAAGCUGUGGGGUUGCAGAGACUACACUGGCAUCUGGGUUUAUCCGAUAUCAAAAUUCAGUGGUCAUAACUGUUUGAUUUUAAGACAAAAUAAAGUCUGAGUCCAUUAAAAGUUCACUUCUUUCCCCUUCUUGUCCUACAGGGUCAGUGUUCUAUUGUUCUGUGUCCUCUACAUUUGCACAUGCACAGAGAGUAUAGUGUUUAGAGAAGCAUGGUAGGGACAAUUUAAAGGCCUUUCUACCAGGCGUGAAAAGAUGCUUGCUCCAGCUACUCUUGGCUCCUUCGCAUUUAUAUUGACGUCCUCACCAUCCCCACAAGUGGGCAUUUGUACCCUGGGCAGAGCUGGAACAAGGCCAUUGCUACUGCAAAUUCCUCCCUGAACAGACUUUGGUCAGACUGUACUGGAGAAUUUAUAAUGGGAAGGUUGUUCGUCUUUCAUUCAUCGUUGAGAUCCAGAAAGACCCACCUGGCUACAUUCAGCUCUCUUCCACAUCCAGGGACAUGUGAAAUCAAUGGUUUCAGAUGUACAGAAGAAAAUCAAACUAUAACAACCCUGUCCCCUAAAUUGCUAACCACAGUUAUCUAUAUUUUAAUAAUAAGACUUUUAUUAAUAUUGGAAAUACUUCUUGUCUUACAACAUCCACUGAGUUGUUAAGUCCCUAACUGCUUCUUCACAUCCCAUUUCCUUAAUAGAUCACCUGUAUAGAAUUUUAUGGACAUUCUAAGAAAUGUUAUAGACUCUGUAGUCUUGGACUGAAGUGGAGGAAAAUAAUACAUUUUUGUUAGGUCAAUCAAAUCAUGAUAUCCAUUUCAAUUAUUUCAUAAAGCGUAUUUUGGUGCAGCCAUAAUAGAAUCUUCCUUUUGAGACAUACUUUAUUUUCGCUCAACCUGUGGACAUAAUCUUUUAAGAACUGACAGCAUACCUAUAUCAGAUAGUAAACAAUCCCAUUUAUACAGAAGAUUUCCAAACCUGAUUUGGAAUAUUUGAAUGUGAAUCCUGGAAUUACUGAGAGAGACUGGUCCAAACAGGUG